rnacentral:lncRNA from 1 species
GACACAGCCAAAUCCCCUAGCAACAGAAAAGAUAAAAGUGGCCUUUCUCUCCUAAAUUGGGGCUUCCACUCACGACUGUCGCCAUGCCUAGUUCAUUUGACUGCCCUGAUAUGCAGCUCACCUUUUGGGCUCACCCUAUUCUUGGGGUGGGGUGCUGCUUGCACCCUCAGCAUCCCUCCCCCUAAGCCUGUACCAGGUGUCCCCUGAUUCACCAUGGUAAUGUUAGUGGCAGCACAGCCCACGCCAACCCUUCCAUGCAGAGACUUAGCAACCAUGCCUGGCAACCGUAGCAGCAGCUCAGUGGAGGGGAGGGGUGCAGGGAGCGGGCUGAGAGGGUGGCAAUGGCUCCUGAGGAAGAAGGGACCACUUGCAUUUGCUGCUCCUGACUUUAAGAUCAGAAGCCUGUGAGCUUCCACAUUGUAUCCCUGGUCUCCUUCAGCUGCUUCCUUGGGCUGAGACUUGUUGGGGUUCUUGGGGGGUAAAUGGGAGAGACAAAAGAUCACAGUUGGUUUUCCAUAAAAAUGCAUGGAACAUUUG